AAAAAUUGUGACUUAUAUGAUACAAUUGCAUUAUGCUCCCUAGAUGGUAAUGCCGGCAGGUCACUAAAUUUCUAGUACUUUAAGAUGAAUCUCAUUUAAUCUCCAGCGGAUGGCAGUCUUGUUUAGUAUAAUACAAUGCACUCUGUGGUUAUGGUACUUGGCGUGUUCUUUUCAGGUAGGACAGACAACUGACCCAGCCUGUUAGUGUACACAGUGUUGGCUAAGCAUGCAUAUGUCUGCCAUGCCUGUUAGUGUACACAGUGCUGGCUAAGCAUGCAUAUCUGUGCCAUGCCUGUUAGUGUACACAGUGCUGGCUAAGCAUGCAUAUGUCUGCCAUGCCUGGUAGUGUACACAGUGCUGGCUAGGCAUGCAUACGUCUGCCAUGCCUGGUGGUGUACACAGUGUUGGCUAAGCAUGCAUACGUCUGCCAUGCCUGGUAGUGUACACAGUGCUGGCUAUGCAUGCAUACGUCUGCCAUGGCUGGUAGUGUACACAGUGCUGGCUAGGCAUGCAUAUGUCUGCCAUGCCUGGUGGUGUACACAGUGUUGGCUAGGCAUGCAUAUGUCUGCCAUGCCUGGUAGUGUACACAGUGCUGGCUAUGCAUGCAUAUGUCUGCCAUGGCUGGUAGUGUACACAGUGCUGGCUAAGCAUGCAUACGUCUGCCAUGCCUGGUGGUGUACACAGUGCUGGCUAAGCAUGCAUACGUCUGCCAUUUCUGGUAGUGUACACAGUGCUGGCUAAGCAUGCACACAUCUGCUACGGUACAUCUCGCUGGGCUAAACAACCUUCUUCUCUGAAACUGAUUAUUAGAACAAUGUGAUAUUUAGUACACUCCCCCCAAUGCUAAGUCCAAAGUGGGACGGUAAGAAAUUAAAGAUGUCCGCCACAAGCCAAUGACACGUAAGACAUCUUCCGCCACAUUGAUUUGGGGAAAAAAAAAAAGGAAAAUUCCUAAAGCUUUGUCAAAAUGUAUAGAUUAUUGUGAAUACAAAUCUCUCAUUUAUUUCUCUAUAUAAAAGCUUUAUGCGCUUGCUGUGUGAUCGCUCUCGUGCUUGGUUCCUCUUAAAGUCAAUUCUUCAUGUGGUUUGGCAGCAAAUUUGAAAAAUAAAUAUUACAGUGCAUUAAACAACUGUAAAAUAAAUAAAAACUAUUUUGCAAGUCACAGUUGGACGGUCAUAUUGGUUUACACGACUAAUGUUGCUAAAUCUCCAAAAUAUUUUAAAAUGCAAAUCUUUGUAAUGUCC